UAACAUAGCCCCACAAAAAAUAGUUAA
rnacentral:sRNA from 1 species